AACACCAAGAUAUUAGCACAGAAAUAGGAAAAACCAUCACUGGACUAAUAGGACAAAUCUAUUCUUUUUCUUCAGAUAAAUUCAAGUAAAAUAAUGUUUAAUAAUGCAGAAUGUACAGAAUUACCUCAUUAUACUGGAAGUAUUUCUGUCAAUCUAUUACAUGUACACAUGUAUAUAUACAUACGUACACAACAUCUGUAAUGAGGACCAUCUAAUGUUAAAGCUAGUUGUUUCUGAUUAGUUGGUAUAUUGUUUUCCUAGAGCACCACAAACUGAUGGCAUAAAACAACAGAAACUUAUUCACUUGCAGCUCUGGGGUCCAGCAGUCCAAAAUCAAGAUGCGACAAGGUUGGUUCUUUUGGAGGCUUUGAGGGAGGAUCUGUUCCAUGCCCCUGUCAUACCUUCUGGUGGUUGCGGAUGCUCCCUGACCUUCACAAAGCCCCUCGUGGGAAUCCUCCCCUCUGCCCACGUCUGAACAGAUGCCCCUUUUUCACUUUAGAGUGGAAUCUUCAUAAGGGCAAGAAUUUUCACCUGUUUUGUUCAGCGCUGCAUCCCCAAUGCCUCGGACAGAGCUGCUGAGAAAAGCAGAAAAGAAGAUUGUGGAAACCACCGUAGAAACAGAAAAUUUGAACGUCUCCUUCAUGGACGGCUAGAGCAGCUCUCGGGUCUAUGGAACAGUUCCCCUGUCAGUCGUGCAAGCGUGAAUCUGCUGUUGCACUGACCAGUGAACUGUGAAUCCAAAACAGAAGAAAGAAAGUGAGGAGGCCCCUGAGGAAGCCAUGUGGAUGAGUAGCCCUGUAACCUAAGAGUCUACCUCUGGACACAGGUUAAACCGGCAGAAGCAAAGGGUCUCUGUUUUCCUGAAGUGUGACACCUCCUACAUGGAAACGAGGGCAGGAUAAACUGGGGCAUCUGAAGUGACCUCUUCCGGGCAGGAUGUGGAAGUGUGAUGCGUCUCCUUGAGCAAGACCUUCCAAAAUGCUUAAUCUAAGGUGAUAAACGUAUUUCUGACAGAAACCUGUAUUUCAUCUUU